GAAGUCAAUAUACCACUUCACACUAAUUUGCUACGGCUCUAUUUGUCCCAUUUUCCAAGACUGUUUAGUGUUUUCCAGCAUCUGAUUUUCUUUCCCACUGCUGUUUUGCACUCUCCAAAGUCCACUGGAAAUGUUUAAUAAUCUAAUUUACAGGCUCUUUAGAAACCUCUAGAGAAAAUUCAGACUCAGCUAACACUCCAGGUUCCCCUUAUCGAUACACUUUGCCUUUUUUAUUCCCCGACAGGAGAGGCUUGCUUUCUUUGUCAUCACUGAAGAUAUUAAUAUCUAACAAAGAAUCUUUUCUAGCUUCUUGAACUGAUAAAAGACUUAAGAAAAAAUAAACUUCCACUAAUUUAUUAUCACAGACUACCUAAAUUCUUCAAUUCCAUGCUACUUUCUUACAUAAAUUCUCCCUGACUGUGCUGAUUUUGUUUUUCCAUCUGACUUUUUAAAUCCCUGGAGAAGGCUAAGAUACUAAGGAAGCACAAGUCUCAGAUUUUUGCAACCAGAAAUUCAGGUAGAAGAAAUAAAAACUUUGAGAUAAGAACAAACUUUUAUAAUAAUUUUGUGAAGAAAAAAAAGAUGAUGAUGAAGAGCAAGAGGAAGAAGAGGGAGAAGCAGGAGGAGAAGAAGAAGAGAAAGAAGAAAAAGGAGGAGAAGGAGAAGGAGAAGGAGAAGGAGAAGAAGACGACGACAACGAUGACUUCCAUGGAUCCCUGAUCUCCUUUAUUGGAGAUACAACUGGUGGAAGGUGAUGGAGACAGACUGAUUGGUUUCUUGAUUGAGUGGUUUUCAACUGUGACUCCAGCCGAGGAUCACAAGCUAAGCCUGAAGCGUUACUCCAUCAGCUGCAGUGAGCAGAGUGUGGCUCUCCAGAGAUGGAAAACCUUCAAAGAUCAUCAUCAUCAAAGGACCCUGCUUGAAUCUACAGCCAUUCACAGCCUGCACCCUGCUAUUCUGUGAGCUUUCUGAGUGGCUCCUGACACUAGAAAAUCAUCAAUGAAUAUACAUCUCAAGGAAACAACCAUAAAGGACAUGUUACAGAAUGCAGAAUUUGGGGCUUCUGCCCUUUGUGAUCAUCAACAUUUUCAUUUCCCUUACACACAUACUGAAUAUUAUAUUAUAUAAAAUGCUAUGCUUUCUAAGAAGCAGUCUGUAAGAGAGGCACGGGACUAAGUGUCACUCUCUUUUAAAGAUUAAGCUGAGAUUUAAAGACGACAACCUUCUUGCCCCUUGUUACAGGAAAAAUAAAUAAUGGAGAAGGGACUGGAUCCCAGUUGUGUUUUUCUAAAAUUCCAAGUUCAGUGUCCUCUAACUACACAACACUGAAGAAGUACCAUGCAGCAGGACAAAUGUAAGGAUAACUAUCCCACUCAUCUAUUUUUAACUAAUCUUACUUGCCUUCCUUCCCUCAAGCAGCUGUGUGGCAGUGUUUACUUAACUACUCCUUCAUGAUAAGUAACUUUUAUCCUAAGUUUCCUGGGGGAUAUAAAUUUUUCUGUUUAGCUUUCUAGUAGUUACUCAAAAGAAGGUCAUUUAUAUACUUAUAUAUAUUGCUCUGAGCUAUAUUUUCAAAAUUAUGGGCUCUCCCCUCCUGAUGCAGGGAUAGCAUAGAAACAUAUCCUUGCAGUCUCCUCUACUCCUAAAAUCCUAAGAUGUGAUUUUUUAAAAAAUUGACUGUGUAUUUUGCAGUAGCAAAAUUUUAUGAGCAGGGCAUAUUUGUGACCUGACUAAAUUAUCACUGGUAUUUGCUAGAUGAUUUUAGGCAUUAUCUAAUGUACUACUUGAAAUAUCCAUUUGCAGGUAGAUACCAUUAUUGUAUUUUAUUGGUGGUAAUGCACACUCUGCUAUCUAAGUAAUGUUUUAGUUCACCUGGUCAAUAAAUGUGCUGAAGUUUGAACAUUCUGCCUGGUUUCAUGGCCCAUCCAUAUAGCUCUACAUUGCCCCACAGAAAUUUGAUAUUCAUCAGAGAACAAUUUUAU
rnacentral:lncRNA from 1 species